rnacentral:rRNA from 1 species
CAGCCGCCACGGUAAUACAGAGGGUGCGAGCGUUAAUCGGAUUUACUGGGCGUAAAGCGUGCGUAGGCGGCUUCUUAAGUUGGAUGUGAAAUCCCUGAGCUUAACUUAGGAAUUGCAUUCGAUACUGGGAAGCUAGAGUAUGGGAGAGGAUGGUAGAAUUCCAGGUGUAGCGGUGAAAUGCGUAGAGAUCUGGAGGAAUACCGAUGGCGAAGGCAGCCAUCUGGCCUAAUACUGACGCUGAGGUACGAAAGCAUGGGGAGCAAACAGGAUUAGAUACCCCUGUAGUCCCUGUCUCUUAUAC